rnacentral:lncRNA from 1 species
UAAAAAUGCUUCGCUUCCACUUCUCAUCUGAAAAGAAAUGGUCUGCUGGUCACAGCGGGGCACCUCGAGGAGAGGACGACUAGGAGCACACGGCCCGGAAAGGUCCAGGUCAGGGAAGGGGUACGCAGUGGGCCGGGACUGGGGCGCGAGGGUGGACGCCGAAAGGCAUGGAGUCUGCAGGCCGCACUGUCCCGCCCCUGUCACUGCGGGCGAGGCCUGUAGCAAAGCCUGCUGGGAAAAUGGUGGGCUUUCGGGAAGGAGGGGGCGACCGGGAAGCGGCGGAGUCGGGAGAGCCGGAGAGCCUCUGGGAAAGCGCAAGGUUGAGGACCUGGCCCCCGAAUCAGGAAAAGAAUAACUGUGCUUGAAGAAGAAAAUUCCCAACAUGGACAAACCACGCAAAGAAAAUGAAGAAGAGCCGCAGAGCGCGCCCAAGACCGAUGAGGAGAGGCCUCCGGUGGAGCACUCUCCCGAAAAGCAGUCCCCCGAGGAGCAGUCUUCGGAGGAGCAGUCCUCGGAGGAGGAGUUCUUUCCUGAGGAGCUCUUGCCUGAGCUCCUGCCUGAGAUGCUCCUCUCGGAGGAGCGCCCUCCGCAGGAGGGUCUUUCCAGGAAGGACCUGUUUGAGGGGCGCCCUCCCAUGGAGCAGCCUCCUUGUGGAGUAGGAAAACAUAAGCUUGAAGAAGGAA